UGGAUUGACAAGGGAGGAAUUGUUAGCUAUUAAAAUUUGACAACUUGAACAAAGAUUGAAAGAUGUAGGACUAGCAUUAGAAAGGUUAUAAAAGGCAAUAUUAGAAGAUAAGACUUAAUUUGAUAAGCAACAUUGAUUAAGGCCUAGAGUAAUUGAAGAAGAUGAUUGGGUAUUUGUUUAUGAUAGUAGUCUGUAUAAUCAACAUAGUGUUCCACAAAAGU
rnacentral:lncRNA from 1 species